UACGGAGGGAGCUAGCGUUGUUCGGAAUUACUGGGCGUAAAGCGCGCGUAGGCGGCUUUGUAAGUUAGAGGUGAAAGCCCGUGGCUCAACCCCGGAACUGCCUUUAAAACUGCAUCGCUUGAAUCCGGGAGAGGUGAGUGGAAUUCCGAGUGUAGAGGUGAAAUUCGUAGAUAUUCGGAAGAACACCAGUGGCGAAGGCGGCUCACUGGACCGGCAUUGACGCUGAGGUGCGAAAGCGUGGGGAGCAAACAGG
rnacentral:rRNA from 1 species